CUUCAUCAUGCUGGAGUUUGAUCAGAUUACGAGUCGCUAGAUCAUGCAAUUCCUGAGAAUUGUGACACUGAAGCGACUCCAGCAGCAGCUCGAGGUGCAAUGGGCUCCAAAAUCAUCUCUCUGCCUAACUUUGCCAUGGAGAGAGAAGACACUGAUCAGAACACAUUUACCCAGAAUGCCCUGCUGUUUUCAUUGCCAAG